rnacentral:rRNA from 1 species
GACGAACCGAGCGAACGUUGUUCGGAAUCACUGGGCUUAAAGGGCGCGUAGGCGGGCUGUCAAGUCUGGGGUGAAAUCCCGCGGCUCAACCGUGGAACUGCCUCAGAUACUGACGGCCUCGAGGGAGAUAGGGGCGAGCGGAACUAAUGGUGGAGCGGUGAAAUGCGUUGAUAUCAUUAGGAACUCCGGUGGCGAAGGCGGCUCGCUGGAUCUUUUCUGACGCUGAGGCGCGAAAGCUAGGGGGAGCAAACAGG